GGGCCGUUAGCUCAACAGGCAGAGCAACUGACUCUUAAUCAGUAGGUUGAAGGUUCGAUUCCUUCACGGCUCACCA
rnacentral:tRNA from 1 species